rnacentral:lncRNA from 1 species
UAAAAUACAACCAUAUUUAUGGAGUAGAGAGUACUCGCGUUCCUUUUAUUGCGAUAUUGGAGGGACAAGACCCUCACAACUCUAAGGGCAUCUUCAAUGGCAAGCCGUUACUAAUUUUCAUCUCUCUCAUCUUUCUUUUGUUUAUUCUUUUCUUUUUUCUAAUGACCCACAUGUCAUUCUCUUUUCAUUCUUGGUACCAUGCACAAGCUGUUACUUCUGCAAGUAACUCGUACUAACUUUUUCUUUUCAUCUCUCCGCCACGUAGGACUAGUACCUGCUUAGUAUCUC